CACCUCUCAGGGUCAUAUCUGGAGAGUUUCCAGUCCUCUACCAGCCUCGACUAUGGGAGAAGGAGUCAAGCAGAGGCCUUCCCAUUCCAUUCCUAGCUUGGGCAAUGGCUAGUGAGUGGAAGGCAAUCUGCUACAAGU